rnacentral:rRNA from 2 species
AACCGCGGUUAGACGAAUAGCCCUAGUUGAUAAUAUUCGGCGUAAAGCGUGGUUAGGGAAAAUAAAAAUAAAGCCGAAUAGCCCUUUGGUUGUUAUACACUUCUAGGAGCCCGAAACCCAAACACGAAAGUUGCUUUAAUAAAAAUACCUGACUCCACGAAAGCUGAGAAA